CCUACGGGCGGCAGCAGUCGAGAAUCAUUCACAAUGGGGGAAACCCUGAUGGUGCGACGCCGCGUGAGUGAAGAAGUAUUUCGGUACGUAAAGCUCUAUCAGCAGGGAAGAAAAUGACGGUACCUGACUAAGAAGCCCCGGCUAACUACGUGCCAGCAGCCGCGGUAAUACGUAGGGGGCAAGCGUUAUCCGGAUUUACUGGGUGUAAAGGGAGCGUAGACGGCAGCGCAAGUCUGGAGUGAAAUCCCAUGGCUUAACCAUGGAACUGCUUUGGAAACUGUGCAGCUAGAGUGCAGGAGAGGUAAGCGGAAUUCCUAGUGUAGCGGUGAAAUGCGUAGAUAUUAGGAGGAACACCAGUGGCGAAGGCGGCUUACUGGACUGUAACUGACGUUGAGGCUCGAAAGCGUGGGGAGCAAACAGGAUUAGAUACCCCUGUAGUC
rnacentral:rRNA from 1 species